GACAGAGGGUGCGAGCGUUGUCCGGAAUUAUUGGGCGUAAAGAGCUUGUAGGCGGUCUGUCGCGUCUGCUGUGAAAAUCCGGGGCUCAACCCCGGACUUGCAGUGGGUACGGGCAGACUAGAGUGAUGUAGGGGAGACUGGAAUUCCUGGUGUAGCGGUGAAAUGCGCAGAUAUCAGGAGGAACACCGAUGGCGAAGGCAGGUCUCUGGGCAUUAACUGACGCUGAGGAGCGAAAGCAUGGGGAGCGAACAGG
rnacentral:rRNA from 1 species